rnacentral:rRNA from 1 species
UAUAAUUUAUAAUAUGAAUUUUUUUCUACUAAUUUUUUUGGAUAAGCUCAAAAAAGUUAAGGUUUUCAAUUAAAUUUACUGUAUGGGCUUAAAAUUGGCCAAAAAGUUUUUUAUAAAACAGUAAUCUUAGAUUUAUAGAUAAAUAUAAUUUAAACUAACUUUUUACAAGGAUAAAAACUUUAAUUUUAUGCCUAUGCUAGAAUGAGUAUUAAACUAUUAUAAAGAUCUUCUUUAAAAAAUUAAUUAAUUAGAAGGAACUCGGCAAAUUUAGUUGUUUCGCCUGUUUAUCAAAAACAUGGCUCUUUGAUUAUAUAAAUAUAAAGAGUCGAGCCUGCCCAGUGUUUUUUAACGGCCGCGGUACUCUGACCGUGCAAAGGUAGCGUAAUCAUUUGCCUUAUAAUUGAAGGCUAGUAUGAAUGGUUUGACGAAAGCAACACUGUCUCCUUUUUAAUUUCAAGAAUUUAAC